GGGGCCUCUGCUUCCACAUCUGCACGGAAAGUGAAUGAAGUAAUUUGAACGGGUUCUUAGCACUGAUGGGUGACACGCUGCCCCAAAACAUUGUGGACAGCUUGUGCAACCAGGCCAAGGAAAAGACAGGACAGGUUUCAGAUGACUCUCCUCCCGUCACUUCCCAGCACGUCACUUACUGCAACCUGUCUGAUGCCGACCGCCACAACAACAUGGCAGGUCUCUUUUAAGAAACCGACAUCAGGGAUGCUCAAGCACAGAGGAAAGACCAUGUGAGGACACAGCGACAAGAUGGCCCAUCUGCAUGCCAAGGACAGAGGUGUCCAGAGAAACCCAACCUGCUGACUUCUUGCUCUUCGACUUCCA